AGAGUUUGAUCAUGGCUCAGGAUGAACGCUGGCGGCGUGCCUAAUACAUGCAAGUCGAGCGAAUGGAUUGAGAGCUUGCUCUCGAGAAGUUAGCGGCGGACGGGUGAGUAACACGUGGGUGACCUGCCCAUAAGACUGGGAUAACUCCGGGAAACCGGGGCUAAUACCGGAUAAUAUUUUGAACUGCAUGGUUCGAAAUUGAAAGGCGGCUUCGGCUGUCACUUAUGGAUGGACCCGCGUCGCAUUAGCUAGUUGGUGAGGUAACGGCUCACCAAGGCAACGAUGCGUAGCCGACCUGAGAGGGUGAUCGGCCACACUGGGACUGAGACACGGCCCAGACUCCUACGGGAGGCAGCAGUAGGGAAUCUUCCGCAAUGGACGAAAGUCUGACGGAGCAACGCCGCGUGAGUGAUGAAGGCUUUCGGGUCGUAAAACUCUGUUGUUAGGGAAGAACAAGUGCUAGUUGAAUAAGCUGGCACCUUGACGGUACCUAACCAGAAAGCCACGGCUAACUACGUGCCAGCAGCCGCGGUAAUACGUAGGUGGCAAGCGUUGUCCGGAAUUAUUGGGCGUAAAGCGCGCGCAGGCGGUUCUUUAAGUCUGAUGUGAAAGCCCCCGGCUCAACCGGGGAGGGUCAUUGGAAACUGGGGAACUUGAGUGCAGAAGAGGAGAGCGGAAUUCCACGUGUAGCGGUGAAAUGCGUAGAGAUGUGGAGGAACACCAGUGGCGAAGGCGGCUCUCUGGUCUGUAACUGACGCUGAGGCGCGAAAGCGUGGGGAGCGAACAGGAUUAGAUACCCUGGUAGU
rnacentral:rRNA from 1 species